CAAUUAUUGUUGUUAAUGUUUUAUUGUGCCUAAUUUAUAAAUUAAACUUUAUCAUAGGCAUGUACAACAUAUAUAGUAUAUAGUGUUUUUACUACUAUUCACUGUUUCAGAUAUCUGCAGAGAGGCUUGGAACCUAUCUCCUGUAGAUAUGUGGUGCUAUUAUAUUUUGAUUCAGACAAGUAGGAUUGAAGAAAGUGAGAAUUAAGCAAGUGAUAUUUGGGUAAAUGUGGCUAAUCGAUCACUUAAGCAAUUUCGAGUUCCAUGGUUUUAAGUUCCACUGUUUCAGAAAUACAUAGAUGUACAAGUCUUUUUAUUUGUGUUGAAUUUUCAUAAAGGAUAAAGAAAAGGAUUCAUUAAACAAUUUAAUUUUUUUGCAAAAAUAUCAAGUAUGGC
rnacentral:lncRNA from 1 species